AAGCACCGGCUAACUCCGUGCCAGCAGCCGCGGUAAUACGGAGGGUGCGAGCGUUAAUCGGAAUUACUGGGCGUAAAGCGCAUGCAGGUGGUUCAUUAAGUCAGAUGUGAAAGCCCGGGGCUCAACCUCGGAACCGCAUUUGAAACUGGUGAACUAGAGUGCUGUAGAGGGGGGUAGAAUUUCAGGUGUAGCGGUGAAAUGCGUAGAGAUCUGAAGGAAUACCAGUGGCGAAGGCGGCCCCCUGGACAGACACUGACACUCAGAUGCGAAAGCGUGGGGAGCAAACAGGAUUAGAUACCCUGGUAGUCCACGCCGUAAA
rnacentral:rRNA from 1 species